rnacentral:rRNA from 1 species
CCUACGGGGGGCAGCAGUGGGGAAUAUUGCGCAAUGGGCGAAAGCCUGACGCAGCGACGCCGCGUGAGGGAUGAAGGUCUUCGGAUCGUAAACCUCUGUCAGCAGGGAAGAACGGUCACUGUGCUAAUCAGCAGUGAAUUGACGGUACCUGCAAAGGAAGCACCGGCUAACUCCGUGCCAGCAGCCGCGGUAAUACGGAGGGGGCGAGCGUUAAUCGGAAUUACUGGGCGUAAAGCGCUCGUAGGCGGUAUGUCAGUUAAAGGGGGAAAUCCCCGCGCUCAACGUGGGAACUGCCUUUGAAACUGGCAAGCUGGAGUGUGUGAGAGGAUAGUGGAAUUCCGGGUGUAGGAGUGAAAUCCGUAGAUAUCAGGAAGAACAUCAGUGGCGAAGGCGACUAUCGGGCACGUGACUGACGCUGAGGAGCGAAAGCGUGGGUAGCAAACAGGAUUAGAUACCCUAGUAGUC